rfam:Acetobacterium wieringae strain DSM 1911 ACWI_contig000050, whole genome shotgun sequence.
GACCCGGCGACGAGGAAUCUGAAGGAAGCUGUCGGCAACUUCCGGUUUGACGAAUAGAAAUCAUAUCAGGCAACUUCAACUGGGUAGGGAAGCAAAUCAAACUAAAGUCCCAAAAUUAUCUGGAAGUGGCAGAUAGAUGGAAGGAAAGAUCGCGUU